rnacentral:tRNA from 1 species
AGCUAGUUAGUAUAGUAGUAUUAUCCUAGCUUAUUAUUAGCUUAUAUAAGUAGUUAAUUUAUACUUUUCUAUUCUUACGACUAUAUACUAGAGGUUAUAGGUUCGAUUUCUAUACUAGCUA